GGGACAACCCGCCGAAAGGCGGGCUAAACCCGCGUACAUGCCACCGGGGCAUCCCGGAGGCAGGAAAGGCUUCGGCCGGACAGGGAUGGGCAUGCGGCGCAUUAGGCAGUAGGCGGGGUAACGGCCCACCUAACCGACGAUGCGUAGGGGUUCUGAGAGGAAGGUCCCCCACACUGGUACUGAGACACGGACCAGACUCCUACGGGAGGCAGCAGUGAGGAAUAUUGGUCAAUGGUCGGGAGACUGAACCAGCCAAGCCGCGUGAGGGAGGAAGGUACAGAGUAUCGUAAACCUCUUUUGUCAGGGAACAAAGACUGGGACGCGUCCCCGGAUGAGUGUACCUGAAGAAAAAGCAUCGGCUAACUCCGUGCCAGCAGCCGCGGUAAUACGGAGGAUGCGAGCGUUAUCCGGAUUUAUUGGGUUUAAAGGGUGCGCAGGCGGUCUGUUAAGUCAGCGGUCAAAGCCCGGGGCUCAACCCCGGCCCGCCGUUGAAACUGGCAGUCUCGAGUUGGAGAGAAGUAUGCGGAAUGCGCGGUGUAGCGGUGAAAUGCAUAGAUAUCGCGCAGAACUCCGAUCGCGAAGGCAGCAUGCCGGCUCCACACUGACGCUGAGGCACGAAAGCGUGGGUAUCGAACAGGAUUAGAUACCCUGGUAGUCCACGCAGUAAACGAUGAAUGCUGGCUGUCCG
rnacentral:rRNA from 1 species